GCUCGUGGAGAUGAAGGAGUCGAAUCAGCCCUCUGUCGAAGGGAAGUCAGCCGGUGCGAGUCCGGUCACGAGCGCCA
rnacentral:tRNA from 1 species